rfam:Salmo salar isolate Sally breed double haploid chromosome ssa12, whole genome shotgun sequence.
UAUGCACUCUACUGUAAGUCGCUCUGGAUAAGAGCGUCUGCUAAAAAUGACUAAAA